rnacentral:misc_RNA from 1 species
AGUUUAAAGAUGCGUUACAUCAGAUUACAUUCAGAUUUAUUUAAUUGGAGUUUAUGUAUUUGACAGACGAACCUCGCCCCCCCCCGAAUUAAAUCAGAGGGACUACUAUCCGUCUCACAAGUUCACAGGUGUGUGUGGAUGAAUAGAGAAAGGCGUGCACAUGCCUCAAUUAAGAAGCCAGCGACAACCGAUCUCCAUGUUCAUUCGAUAAUGAUCCUUCCGCAGGUUCACCUACGGAAA